rnacentral:tRNA from 13 species
UCCUCGGUAGUAUAGUGGUCAGUAUCUCCGCCUGUCACGUGGGAGACCGAGAUUCGAUUCCCCGCCCGGGAG